rnacentral:lncRNA from 1 species
CAUGUGACUUGACUGGUAUUGCUGACUGAUCACUUUUCAAUUUCUUUUGUAGGUCACAAGGAGAAUACCAGUCUCUCCUGCGGGGAGACACUCAGUGUUCCUCUGCACACACAGCAGGAUGUAGAACUGUGGUUUAGACCUGACCAAGGAGACUCUCGCUGGCUGUGACUUACAUAGUGCAGGACUCCGAGAGGAAACACUGUUCAUGUCAGUGUGGGAGCUCGAUCAGAUGUCCUCACCCUGCAAUCCGGACAUAAUCUGUCUCUCCCUCUUCACACUGCUUAUCCAGUGGAGGUGCUGUUUGAUCUUGCAGGAUCUGCUGAGUCUCACAGAGUCAUACUGAGCAACGCAGGUCUCCCUGGCCCUGGGUAUGAGCAGAGAGUGUCUGUGCAGGACAGCUCUCUGAUACUGUGCUCUCUCACACCAGCUGAUCAGGGAAACUACACAGUGAGGGACCUUCAAGGAAACCCCAUCAGCACAGUUGCCCUCACUGUGAAAGGUAAGACUGUUUUUGGCACAGGAAAAUUUGAGUUAAACUAGCCUCCUUGUAUUAUUUACUAGACGAACUGAUAAACUAAUAAACUGAAAUGUAUAAACUGUAUAAAGCAAGUACUUAAAAAAUUAGCACCUUGGUUCAGUUGUUUCAGUGCUGGUACAUUUUCUCUUUGAAGUCUGAUGCCAAUCGCUCAGUUUCCAGUAUGUCAGUUGGCAUUUUGUAUAAAUGAAGUGAAAAACACACUUCUUCCAGCCCCUUUCCAGCCAGCUGUAAGAUGUGAUUUGAAACGGAUCAGGAUGUGAUCCAUG